GUCCCUGCAGCGCAAUCGACAGCGCGUUGGACUUCUAAUCCGAAGAUCGUGGUUUCGUAUCCCACCAGGGUUAGACU